GCUAGCGUUGCUCGGAAUCACUGGGCGUAAAGGGUGCGUAGGCGGGUCUUUAAGUCCGGGGUGAAAUCCUGGAGCUCAACUCCAGAACUGCCUUUGAUACUGAGGAUCUUGAGUUCGGGAGAGGUGAGUGGAACUGCGAGUGUAGAGGUGAAAUUCGUAGAUAUUCGCAAGAACACCAGUGGCGAAGGCGGCUCACUGGCCCGAUACUGACGCUGAGGCACGAAAGCGUGGGGAGCAAACAGG
rnacentral:rRNA from 1 species